CCUACGGGAGGCUGCAGUGAGGAAUAUUAGUCAAUGGACGGAAGUCUGAACCAGCCAUGCCGCGUGCAGGAAGACGGCUCUAUGAGUUGUAAACUGCUUUUGUACAAGGGUAAACCUGAAAAAGUGUAUUCAACUGAAAGUACUGUACGAAUAAGGAUCGGCUAACGCCGUGCCAGCAGCCGCGGUAAUAAGGAGGAUCCAAGCGUUAUCCGGAUUAAUUGGGUUUAAAGGGUGCGUAGGCGGAUUGAUAAGUUAGAGGUGAAAUGUCCGAGCUUAACUCGGGAACUGCCUCUAAUACUGUUGAUCUAGAGAGUAGAUGCGGUAGGCGGAAUGUAUGGUGUAGCGGUGAAAUGCUUAGAGAUCAUACAGAACACCGAUUGCGAAGGCAGCUUACCAAUCUAUAUCUGACGUUGAGGCACGAAAGCGUGGGGAGCAAACAGGAUUAGAUACCCUAGUAGUC
rnacentral:rRNA from 1 species